GUCUACGGCCAUGCCACCCUGAACAAGCCCGAUCCUGUCUGAUCUCGGAAGCUAAGCAGGGUCGGGCCUGGUUAGUACUUGGAUGGGAGACCACCUAGGACGACCAGGUGCUGUAGGUG
rnacentral:rRNA from 1 species